CGAAUACUAAUUAGUGUGUUUUUAGUGGCAUGUCCUGGACCCGAAGCGGGGUGAUCUACCCAUGGCCAGUGUGAAGCAGAGGUAAGACUCUGUGGAGGCGCGAACCCACUUAGGUUGAAAACUGAGGGGAUGAGUUGUGGGUAGGGGUGAAAGGCCAAUCAAACUCCGUGAUAGCUGGUUCUCCCCGAAAUGCAUUUAGGUGCAGCGUCGUGUGUUUCCUCCUGGAGGUAGAGCUACUGGUUGGUUUAGCGGGACUAUCAUCUUAGCGACAUCAGCCAAACUCCGAAUGCCAGGUCAGGUGAGAGCACGGCAGUGAGACUGCGGGGGAUAAGCUUCGUAGUCGAGAGGGAAACAGCCCAGAUCGCCGGCUAAGGCCCCUAAGGGUGUGCUAAGUGGAAA
rnacentral:rRNA from 1 species